rnacentral:miRNA from 1 species
AGUAUUAGGUUGGUGCAAAAGUAAUUGUGGUUUUGGCAAUCAUUGCAAAAGCCACAGUUACUUUUGCACCAACCUAAUAU